UAUUGAUUAAAAUAAAUCUAAUUUUUUGUUCCAUAAUAAUAGAUCUGGAAGACUAAUAAGAUGAGUUGGGUUAAGCUCAAUAAGUUGAGUGGAGCUGUGAUCCAUAAUAAACCUAACAGCAAGAGAUUCAAUAAUAAACUAAUGUCCAGGCGUGGGUUGAAUCAGAUCGAAACUUAUGAAACGUAAUGGCUGAGCCCUUAAGUGCGAUCGAUAUGUCCUUCCUAUCAGCACAUAUUUUUGGAAUAGUUGGUUAGUACUUGUAAUCCACAAAU
rnacentral:lncRNA from 1 species